UACGAAGGGGGGCUAGCGUUGUUCGGAAAUUACUGGGCGUAAAGCGCACGUAGGCGGAUAUUUUAAGUCAGGGGGUGAAAAUCCCAGAGCUCAACUCUGGAACUGCCUUUUGAUACUGGGUAUCUAGAGUAUGGAAGAGGUGAGUGGAAAUUCCGAGUGUAGAGGUGAAAAUUCGUAGAUAUUCGGAGGAACACCAGUGGCGAAGGGCGGCUCACUGGUCCAUUACUGACGCUGAGGUGCGAAAAGCGUGGGGGAGCAAACAGG
rnacentral:rRNA from 1 species